CUUUGUGUUCAGUGGCUCUAUGUACCACAAUAUUUGGCUUCUUUUUCUAGCACCACACUAUUAAUUUGAAGAGUUAGUCUAUGCAGAACUCCAUUAUGUCAAAAACUCCAUUUUUGUCAACUACAUGUGAGAUAAGACCUUUUUUGUCCUUGAACUCUUGAGCUCAAGUGAUCCUCCUGCCUCAGCCCCCUGACUAACUGCCAUCAUGCCUGAUGUAAGUUGACUGUACCUGCCCAGCUGGCCUCAUGAAUGGAUGCCUUCUUCAUGGGAUAAGAGUUCUAUCCCUGAACUUCAGCUUGGUCUCUGGGGCUCUGGGAUGCUCCAACAGACUUCUCUGCUGAUCUUUUUUUUUUGGUACCAG
rnacentral:lncRNA from 1 species